UCGGAUGUGGUGCACGGUGCACACCUGCUCUCUAUGACUCUUGGGAUACGAGUACAGCAGGAGCCCUGGGUUCGACUCCCAGCGUCCGAA